UACGUAGGGUGCGAGCGUUAAUCGGAAUUACUGGGCGUAAAGCGUGCGCAGGCGGUUCGUUGUGUCGGUGGUGAAAGCCCCGGGCUUAACCUGGGAAUGGCCGUCAAACUGGCGAACGGAGUGUGGCAGAGGGGGUGGAAUUCCGCGUGUAGCAGUGAAAAUGCGUAGAUAUCAGGAGGAACACCGGUGGUGUAAACGCUUUCUGGACCAUAACUGACGUGAGGCACGAAAAGCGUGGGUAGCAAACAGG
rnacentral:rRNA from 1 species